GCUCUCGAGCAUGAUUUUUUAAUGGGAUUAAUGGGAAUUGAAUUAAAUUAUUGUAAAUUAUCGUAAUUAUUCUUCGACUAAGUCUUGUUUGUUUUAAUAUCGUCAGUCGUAUACAAAAAUGAGCACAACACGCCACAAACGUUUAACCUAUAUACGUAUAGGCGAAACCCUUACGGCGACUUUUCGUGUCGACGAGAAGCUGGGCCUGUCUCUUGAGCAACGUCCUCGAGGGGAUGUCGUCCUCGUCCUCCGAUGGUUGAGCCUGAGCUGCCGGAGUCGUGACCGUCGGGAAGAGCGGAAAUAGCGGCUGGUCGUCGACGUUUAUGUGCUUCGUGUGUUCCGACGCCGUCUCCAGCGACAUGGCUUCGAUCUGCGAGCGACAGACAGGACUAGUACAACCGAUAACUCACUGAUCGGCGUCCUUAGUCUCCGAGAACUUCUGCAUCUCGAUCUCGGCGGUGAGCUGCUGCCUCUUCUUCUCCAAGAGCAUCUUCUCCUCCUCUGUGGCCGUCUGCAUCUUCUUGAGCUUCUCCUUGGUGGCCCGUUGCGCCAGGAACCUGUUGAGCACGUCUUCGGUCCUGGAGACUCCGGUAGCGUUGCGCAGCUUCACGAACACCUCCUCGAGUCGGUCGACCUCCGCCUGUGGCACGUCCUUGUCGGCUAUCUGCCAUUUGCUUCGACUCGUCGUCGUCUCGAAGUCGUCGCCUCGGGGCAUCGGUUUCGUUGACGGGAACAUCAUGCGCUCCAGGCGCUCGAGCUCCAUUUUUCGAUCUUCCACUCGUUUUCUGCAGCGAGAAAAUUUCGCGCUCUUUGCUCGUGUGCAUCGCCUGUAUCUCCUGCUUGGUCAGAGUCUCCUUCGUGGUGUCCCUAAGCUCGAUCGCCUCCGCCUUGACUUUCUGCGCCCGCAUGAAAAUACCUUUGCUCAAAACUCUCACACUGAUACGCGAAGUAGCGUUUGAAAAUCAUCGAGCCUAAUUGCUUCCGCCGUAACCGCGGCUUGCAAAGAUAAUAAAUAAAAAAAAUAAUA